rnacentral:rRNA from 1 species
GGUUAAGAAAUUGGCUGAACAUAUCCAAUCUCAUCUUAUCUCGGAAGCUAAGCAGGGUCGGGCCCGGUUAGUAAUUGGAUGGGAGACCACCUAGGAAGACUAGUUGCUAUAGGCA